AGAUGAAGAACGCAGCGAAAUGCGAUACUUGGUGUGAAUUGCAGAAUCCCGUGAACCAUCGAGUCUUUGAACGCAAGUUGCGCCUCAAGCCAUUAGGUUGAGGUCACGUCUGCCUGGGCGUCACAUAUCGUUGCCUGAUGCCAGUUUCCUCGUGAUGGGUGACUGUGCAGGGCGAAUGAUGGCUUCCCGUGAGCAUUGUUGCCUCAUGGUUGGUUGAAAAUUGAGUCCUUGGUAGGGAGCGCCGUGAUAGAUGGUGGUUGCGUGACGAACGAGACCCAAUCAUGUGAGACCCCUACCGAAUUUGGCCUUCAUGACCCACAUGCGUCUUUGGAACGCUCAUGACGAGACCUCAGGUCAGGCGGGGCUACCCGCUGAGUUUAAGCAUAUCAAUAAGCGGAGGA
rnacentral:misc_RNA from 1 species